rnacentral:rRNA from 1 species
AUUGAACGCUGGCGGCAGGCCUAACACAUGCAAGUCGAGCGGAUGAAGGGAGCUUGCUCCUGGAUUCAGCGGCGGACGGGUGAGUAAUGCCUAGGAAUCUGCCUGGUAGUGGGGGAUAACGUCCGGAAACGGGCGCUAAUACCGCAUACGUCCUGAGGGAGAAAGUGGGGGAUCUUCGGACCUCACGCUAUCAGAUGAGCCUAGGUCGGAUUAGCUAGUUGGUGGGGUAAAGGCCUACCAAGGCGACGACCCGUAACUGGUCUGAGAGGAUGAUCAGUCACACUGGAACUGAGACACGGUCCAGACUCCUACGGGAGGCAGCAGUGGGAAUAUUGGACAAUGGGCGAAAGCCUGAUCCAGCCAUGCCGCGUGUGUGAAGAAGGUCUUCGGAUUGUAAAGCACUUUAAGUUGGGAGGAAGGGCAGUAAGUUAAUACCUUGCUGUUUUGACGUUACCAACAGAAUAAGCACCGGCUAACUUCGUG